rnacentral:rRNA from 1 species
UACGUAGGGGGCUAGCGUUGUCCGGAUUUAUUGGGCGUAAAGAGCGUGUAGGCGGCCAGAUAGGUCCGUUGUGAAAACCCGAGGCUUAACCUCGGGACGUCGAUGGAAACCAUUUGGCUAGAGUCCGGAAGAGGAGAGUGGAAUUCCUGGUGUAGCGGUGAAAUGCGCAGAUAUCAGGAAGAACACCCGUGGCGAAGGCGGCUCUCUGGGACGGUACUGACGCUGAGACGCGAAAGCGUGGGGAGCGAACAGG